GACGAACGCUGGCGGCGUGCUUAACACAUGCAAGUCGAACGGUAAGGCCCUUCGGGGUACACGAGUGGCGAACGGGUGAGUAACACGUGGGUGAUCUGCCCUGCACUUCGGGAUAAGCCUGGGAAACUGGGUCUAAUACCGGAUAGGACUCCGGACUGCAUGGUCUGGGGUGGAAAGCUUUUGCGGUGUGGGAUGGGCCCGCGGCCUAUCAGCUUGUUGGUGGGGUGAUGGCCUACCAAGGCGACGACGGGUAGCCGGCCUGAGAGGGUGACCGGCCACAAUGGGACUGGGAUACGGCCCAGACGCCUACGGGAGGCAGCAGUGGGGAAUAUUGCACAAUGGGCGCAAGCCUGAUGCAGCGACGCCGCGUGAGGGAUGACGGCCUUCGGGUUGUAAACCUCUUUCAGCAUCGACGAAGCGAAAGUGACGGUAGGUGCAGAAGAAGGACCGGCCAACUACGUGCCAGCAGCCGCGGUAA
rnacentral:rRNA from 1 species